GAACUUGCAUGAGAAUCACCCAGAACAAACAAACCCAGAGAAUGCUGCGACCAAAGCCAGAUCUAUGAGAACAGAAGCUCCAGGGAUGGAGCAAGGAUCCCAGACUUGUAAUAAGCACUCUGGGUUGCUCUUAGGCAGGCCCACACAGGUCUAGGGACCAGAGUUUUGGAAUCCUGCAGUGGUAUUUCUCAGCGUGGCCCACCUAUCCUCAGAUUGCCUGGAACGCUUGAAAAUGCAGAUGCCUGGGUCCUGCUCCAAACCCUGCUGGAUUAGAAUGUCAGAUAGGACACAAGACUUGGCAUUUUAUUUUUUUUAAUAAUCAUUUUUUAAAUUUUGUAAUUAUUUUUAAGACUGCUUUUAAAACAAGUGUCUCAAGGGUUCUUGUGCUCACCAGAACUCUCUAGGACAGGAGUUCCCUACCUUGGUAUCACUGACGGUUUGCGCUGGAUACUUCUUGGUGGGAAGCACUGUCCCCUGCAUUGUACCCCUGGCCUCAACCCAGUGGAUGCCAGUUGCACCCUUCUCCCUGCUCCCAGUUGUGACUAUCAUACUUGUCUCCAGCGAUUUUGAAAUGCUCUGGAUCGGGGCAGGGCGGGGGUGGGGUGGGGAGGCGGUGAGUGCUUCCCCCCGAUCCCAGUGUUGGGAAUCACUACUAUAGAAUCUCAGCCCCUUGAGUGACUGAUCAACUUAAUCAGCUUAUCAACCCAAAUGGUGGCUUGGGAAAUCUUGAAGGAAGCUGGUAUCCUGAGCACCAGGGUUCUUUGUGUGUCCUUCCCAGCAGGACCUGGGGCUUCUGACCUGGAGACCAGGCCCCAGGGAGGAGGAGGCACCCAAGCUCCGGGGGAUUAUUGGGUGGCUAAAUGGACUCUAAUCCCAGCAGAGGCCAGAUGAGGGAGGGGGCCCAGCAACCUGGGCUCACCUGCCAGCAUCUUCCCUGAAAAGGGUGGGAUGGAUAUGCUUAGAAACCCACAUAACCUGCACCUCAGUUCCCUAACCUCAGGAUUAAGGGCCAUGAUGGCAGCAAGGCCUCCCCCACCCCUCACUGCAAAGGUCAGUCUUUCGUUCCUCGACAAAGACCAGGGCCACUGGGCAGGUGAUUCUCUGUCCACCUACUGUCUCAUAUAGCAGGAGCUCGGGGCCCAGAGGCUUGAUCCCUCAUGGUAGCAGGUGCAAGACAAUUGAUUGGGCGGACAUAUUUUUCUCUUUUUUUCUUUCUGUCCUGCUUCCCAGAAGCUGUUCACCUUGGCUGAGCAGCUCAGCCCAGAGCCUUAAUCCCUCAUGGUAGCAGGUGCAAGACAAGUGAUUGGGCAGACAUAUUUUUCUCUUUUUUUCUUUCUGUCCUGCUUCCCAGAAGCUGUUCACCUUGGCUGAGCAGCUCGGCCCAGAGCCUUAAUCCCUCAUGGUAGCAGGUGCAAGACAAGUGAUUGGGCAGACAUAUUUUUCUCUUUUUUUCUUUCUGUCCUGCUUCCCAGAAGCUGUUCACCUUGGCUGAGUAGCUCAGCCCAGGCUGGGCUGCCUGGGUUCAAAUUCCAGCUCCUCCAAUUAUUAAUUGGGUGAAAGUUAUUUAAUCUUGCUAAGCUUCAGUUUUACUGCCCUGUUGGUAUAAUUGUACUAGUGCCUGCCUCAUGGGAGCUGUGAGAAUGGAUUCAAGUGCCUGCCUCGUCAAUAAUUGUCAUCAGUGAGUUCCCUGGUGGUGGCGCAGCAGGUUAGGGAUCCACCGUUGUCAUUGCGGUGGCUCGGGUCACUGCUGUGGUGCAUGUUUGAUCCCUGGCCCUGGAACUUCCAUAUACCAUGGUGCAGCCAAAUAAAUGCUAUCGUUACUUUCACAUGGUAUAAAUAAAUAAAUAAAUAAAAGCCACCAUUACUUUUACACGGUAACUCUACUUCCAUGCUGCCCUCCAGUCUGCCAGUAUCUCGGGUUCGUUCACCCUUCCGUGUUCCCAUCACAGACACUGCACCAACCCACCUGUGGAGAAGGAUGCACCAGGCACCCUGAGUGUUUUGACCUGUGAGAUAGGACCUGGGAAAUAAGUGCCAUGAAAAAUACCUGGGGCCUAUGUAUGUAUCUGUAUUUCUAUGUUUUGUGUCAAAUGUCCUUAAAAUAAUCUAUAAAUGCCAUGUCUUCUCAAUAAAAACAGCCAUGCUUUUGGGAAGUGGGGGGAGACGAUGGGAUGGGUGCUAGAUUAGAUCUGCUGAAUCUGAAGUUCUCAGGGAAAAUCAACAUGUAAGAAAUAACCAGGAAAUUUCUGAAAAAGAGUAUUGACAGGGACACUAGCCCACCCAGGUUUUUUAAAAUAUUAUGGAAUCAUAAUAUGAAAGGCUACAGAAAUGAAAGCGAUGGUGCCAACACAUGAAUAAACACAAAUCAAUGGAAGAAGAGUCCGGAAAGAAAACCAAGUUGACAAAUAUGGCACCCCAAAUCCAUGAGGAAGAGAUAAAUAAAGGCAAUGAACAGUGCUGGGACCUCUCCCAGCAGCAACAAAGUAAAUGCCAGAUGGGUCAGAGAUUUAACAAAUGCAAACUAUACAUGUACCAGAAAACAGGGGGAUUUGUAAAAAUUAUCUUGUAAUGGGGGAGGUCUAACUAAGAGGGUGAUAAAAAUAAAUCCAGCAGUGAUGAAAACAAAGUUUGAUAAAAGGCAAAAAGAAAGAAGAUUAAGUGACAAACAGGAUAAACAAUUUGCAACUCAUGACACAGACAGGAAAAUGACAAAGGAGACAAGCAGGUAAUUCAAAAAAGAAGCGCUAGAAAUGACUUGCAGGAGUUCCCUGGCGGCACAGUGGGUUAAGGAUCCAGCAUUGUCGCUGGUGUGGGUCGGUUUGCUGCUGUGACCGGGGUUUAAUCCCUGGUCCAGGAACUUUCCACAUGCCAUGAGCGCGGCCAGAUUAAAAAAAAAGAAAAAAAAGAAAAUGACUUUUGAGCACAGAUCAAAACUGAUAAUAGACGAGAGUAGCCACGUCUGUUAGUAGCCAUAGUCAAUAUCCCAGCAUUUUCCCUAGGAGACACCCCGGAUGGUUGUCAUGAAAUGCUGGGUGAACCUUCAAGGCGGUUAAAGACUCCGACACGUGGCGCAGCGGUUAACGAAUCCGACUAGGAACCAUGAGGUUGCGGGUUCGACCCCUGCACUUGCUCAGUGGGUUAACGAUCCGGAGUUGCCGUGAGCUGUGAUGUAGGUUGCAGACGCGGCUCGGAUCCCGCGUUGCUGUGGCUCUGGCGUAGGCCGGUGGCUACAGCUCCGAUUCAACUCCUAGCCUGGGAACCUCCAUAUGCCGCGGGAGCGGCCCAAGAAAUGGCAACAACAACAACAACAACAAAAAAGACAAAAAGACAAAAAAAAAAA
rnacentral:lncRNA from 1 species